CAGUAGCCGCGGGAAUACGGAGGGGGCUAGCGUUGCUCGGAAUCACUGGGCGUAAAGGGAGCGUAGGCGGAUGUUUAAGUCAGAGGUGAAAGCCCAGGGCUCAACCUUGGAACUGCCUUUGAUACUGGACAUCUUGAGUGUGGGAGAGGUAAGCGGAACUCCGAGUGUAGAGGUGAAAUUCGUAGAUAUUCGGAAGAACACCAGUGGCGAAGGCGGCUUACUGGCCCAUUACUGACGCUGAGGCUCGAAAGCGUGGGGAGCAAACAGGAUUAGAUACCCCAGUAGUCCCUGUCUCUUAUAC
rnacentral:rRNA from 1 species